UGCAGCAGAGCUCCGACCUUCGGGGACGAGCGCUUUUAUUAGACCAAAACCAAUCGGACCUCGUGUCCGUCCUUUGUGGUGACUCUGUAUAACUUUGGGCUGAUCGCACGGGCCUGUCCCGGCGACGUAUCUUUCAAGUGUCUGCCUUAUCAACUUUCGAUGGUAGGUUACGCGCCUACCAUGGUCGUAACGGGUAACGGGGAAUCAGGGUUCGAUUCCGGAGAGGGAGCCUGAGAAACGGCUACCACAUCCAAGGAAGGCAGCAGGCGCGCAAAUUACCCACUCCCAGAACGGGGAGGUAGUGACGAAAAAUAACAAUACGGGACUCUUUUGAGACCCCGUAAUUGGAAUGAGUACACUCUAAAUCCUUUAACGAGGAUCCAUUGGAGGGUAAGUCUGGUGCCAGCAACCGCGGUAAUUCCAGCUCCAAUAGCGUAUAUUAAAGUUGUUGCGGUUAAAAAGCUCGUAGUUGGAUCUCAGUUCCAGACGGGUGGUCCUCCUACCGGUGGUUACUGCCUGUUCUGAACAGUCAGCCGGUUUCUCUUGAUGAUCUUCACCGGUUGUCUUGGGUGACCGGCAAGUUUACUUUGAAAAAAUUAGAGUGCUCAAAGCAGGCGUGACGCCUGAAUAAUGGUGCAUGGAAUAAUGGAAUAGGACCUCGGUUCUAUUUUGUUGGUUUUCGGAACACGAGGUAAUGAUUAAGAGGGACAGACGGGGGCAUUCGUAUUGCGACGCUAGAGGUGAAAUUCUUGGACCGUCGCAAGACGAACUACUGCGAAAGCAUUU
rnacentral:rRNA from 1 species